rnacentral:rRNA from 1 species
UACGAAGGGAGCUAGCGUUGUUCGGAAUCACUGGGCGUAAAGCGCACGUAGGCGGAUGUGUCAGUCAGGGGUGAAAUCCCGGAGCUCAACUUCGGAACUGCCUCUGAUACAGCACGUCUUGAGUCCGGAAGAGGUGGGUGGAAUUCCUAGUGUAGAGGUGAAAUUCGUAGAUAUUAGGAAGAACACCGGUGGCGAAGGCGGCCCACUGGUCCGGUACUGACGCUGAGGUGCGAAAGCGUGGGGAGCAAACAGGAUUGA